AAAAAGUUUAAAAAUAAACAAGUUUAAAUUAAAAUGAAUAAAAAUACGACCUAGAAUCCUGAAUGCUGCUUUCGAAAUAUUCCUUAUUAAUGUUAGUCCUGUUGAAACAAAUAAUGUAUUUUCCUGUAAUUGACUUUUCCUCCCGUAUGGAUCUUCAGCCAAUGUAGUGGACUGUUGGAGGCUAUUGGCGGCAGAACCUGUUCGUUGCUCUUAAAAUAUUCCUUUUUAAUCUUGGUCCUGUUGAAAUUUAUAUGGCUUUUAUCCCGUACGCGUCUUGAUCAAAUGUCGAUUCCAGAGUCUAGCCAAUGUAGUUGAAUGUUGAAGGCUAUUGGCGGCAGAACCUGUUCGUUGCUCUUGAAAUAUUCCUUAUUAAUGUUAGUCCUGUUGAAACAAUGUAUUUUCCUGUAAUUGGCUCCUCCCUCCCGUAUGGAUCUUGAUGCGAUUGACCAGUGUGUUGUAUCCUGGGAGAAGAAUCGUCGACAUGUGAUUUUCCUUAUUAAUGUUAGUCCUGUUGAAACAAAUAAUGUAUUUUCCUGUAAUUGACUUUUCCUCCCGUAUGGAUCUUCAGCCAAUGUAGUGCACUGUUGGAGGCUAUUGGCGGCAGAACCUGUUCGUUGCUCUCAAAAUAUUCCUUUUUAAUCUUGGUCCUGUUGAAAUUUAUAUGGCUUUUAUCCCGUACGCGUCUUGAUCAAAUGUCGAUUCCAGAGUCUAGCCAAUGUAGUUGAAUGUUGAAGGCUAUUGGCGGCAGAACCUGCUCGUUGCUCUCGAAAUAUUCCUUAUUAAUGUUAGUCCUGUUGAAAUAAUGUAUUUUCCUGUAAUUGGCUCCUCCCUCCCGUAUGGAUCUUGAUGCGAUUGACCAGUGUGUUGUAUCCUGGGAGAAGAAUCGUCGACAUGUGAUUUUCCUUAUUAAUGUUAGUCCUGUUGAAACAAAUAAUGUAUUUUCCUGUAAUUGACUUUUCCUCCCGUAUGGAUCUUCAGCCAAUGUAGUGGACUGUUGGAGGCUAUUGGCGGCAGAACCUGCUCGUUGCUCUCGAAAUAUUCCUUAUUAAUGUUAGUCCUGUUGAAAUAAUGUAUUUUCCUGUAAUUGGCUCCUCCCUCCCGUAUGGAUCUUGUGGUUGACUAGUGUCCUCUUAAUGCCCUCGCGGCAUGGUAAGGGACUAUUAAAGUCCAUUGGCAGCAGAACCUGUUUGUUGCUCUUGUACGUAUAAAUCGAACACAGAACACAUUGCAAAGUUCAACACAUAUCUUUUCAAUAGAAAAUAUUCCUUAUUAAAGAAAUUUGUAAUUUAAGCUGAGCUUACUUAAGGUCAUUCGCGAUAUUCUUUCAUCAACUGGCGGCCAUGCGGCUCCCGAUAUAUAAAUAUUUGGAUGGUUGCUCCCAAUGGAAUAUCAUUGUCACCUGGGACUACUCCUUCUGUUUUGGCGAAAGACUUACUUUUUGUCUUCGGCGGAUCCUAAAGUAUUCCUCCAACCUGGCUUAGCUGCACUACCGAUUAUUUUCCUUCCAUUUAUGUAAUAUUUCACAAAAAUAUGAAAAACAUACAGCAAAGCUCCACAAGAUCACAAAAAUAUGAAAAACAUACUGCAAAACUCCA